AUUGAACGCUGGCGGCAUGCUUUACACAUGCAAGUCGAACGGCAGCGCGGGGGCAACCCUGGCGGCGAGUGGCGAACGGGUGAGUAAUAUAUCGGAACGUACCCAGAAGUGGGGAUAACGUAGCGAAAGUUACGCUAAUACCGCAUACGAUCUACGGAUGAAAGUGGGGGACCUUCGGGCCUCAUGCUUUUGGAGCGGCCGAUAUCUGAUUAGCUAGUUGGUGAGGUAAAGGCUCACCAAGGCGACGAUCAGUAGCUGGUCUGAGAGGACGACCAGCCACACUGGAACUGAGACACGGUCCAGACUCCUACGGGAGGGCAGCAGUGGGGGAAUUUUGGACAAUGGGGGGCGAACCCUGAUCCAGCAAUGCCGCGUGAGUGAAGAAGGGCCUCGGUUCGG
rnacentral:rRNA from 1 species